UAGUCCACGCCGUAAACGAUGGAUGCUAGCCGUUGGGCAGUUUACUGUUCAGUGGCGCAGCUAACGCAUUAAGCAUCCCGCCUGGGGAGUACGGUCGCAAGAUUAAAACUCAAAGAAAUUGACGGGGGCCCGCACAAGCGGUGGAGCAUGUGGUUUAAUUCGAAGCAACGCGCAGAACCUUACCUACCCUUGACAUGCCGGUCGCGAUUUCCAGAGAUGGAUUUCUUCAAUUCGGUUGGACCGUGCACAGGUGCUGCAUGGCCGUCGUCAGCUCGUGUCGUGAGAUGUUGGGUUAAGUCCCGCAACGAGCGCAACCCUCACUUUUAGUUGCCAGCAUUUAGUUGGGCACUCUAGAAGAACUGCCGGUGCUAAGCCGGAGGAAGGUGGGGAUGACGUCAGGUCCUCAUGGCCCUUACGGGUAGGGCUACACACGUGCUACAAUGGCGCUGACAGAGGGUUAAUCCCUAAAAGGCGUCUCAGUUCGGAUUGUCCUCUGCAACUCGAGGGC
rnacentral:rRNA from 1 species